rnacentral:rRNA from 1 species
GACGAACGCUGGCGGCGUGCUUAACACAUGCAAGUCGAACGGAAAGGCCCUGCUUUUGUGGGGUGCUCGAGUGGCGAACGGGUGAGUAACACGUGCGUAACCUGCCCUUUACUUUGGGAUAACUUCAGUAAACUGGGGCUAAUACCGGAUAGGAGCUCCUGCUGCAUGGUGGGGGUUGGAAAGUUUCGGCGGUUGGGGAUGGACUCGCGGCUUAUCAGCUUGUUGGUGGGGUAGUGGCUUACCAAGGCUUUGCCGGGUAGCCGGCCUGAGAGGGUGACCGGCCACAUUGGGACUGAGAUACGGCCCAGACUCCUACGGGAGGCAGCAGUGGGGAAUAUUGCACAAUGGGCGGAAGCCUGAUGCAGCAAAGCCGCGUGCGGGAUGACGGCCUUCGGGUUGUAAACCGCUUUCGCCUGUGACGAAGCGUGAGUGACGGUAAUGGGUAAAGAAGCACCGGCUAACUACGUG